rnacentral:lncRNA from 1 species
CUUAGAAUAGCCUUUGCAAUCUGUAUAAAGCUUGUACAAUAUAGUCUCAUUGAUAUUGAUAUACAAACACAGAAUUCCAUAUUCUUUCAUGGUAUCAGAGCACCAAUAUUGGUGACUCUGCCCAAACGUCUUCCGCUACUACAAACCAACCAACCAACACAGAUCACCAACAUGGGUGACAAAAAAUCAUCCGAAUCUGAAAUCAACAUAUCCGAUCCACUCAACCUACACCAUUCAGACUCACCCGGCCUUGUUCUCGUUUCCAAGCCUCUCGAAGGCCAUAAUUACGGUCAAUGGAGCCGUUCGAUGCGAAUUGCCUUGAGUGCUAAAAACAAACUAGGAUUCAUUGACGGAACCAUCAAAUCCCCAGCAAGCACCGAUGCCAAAUCUGCUAUUUGGCAGAGAUGCAAUGACAUGGUGUUAUCGUGGAUUCUGCAAUCACUACAUCCCGAUAUCGCAAGCAGCGUGCUUUACUGCACCAGCGCAUCCAUGGUGUGGAAUGAUCUUCAGGACCGGUUCUCACAGAGCAACGAUUCUAGGAUUUACCAAAUUAGCCAAGAAAUCGCCGAACAUCGACAAGGGCACCUUACGAUUUCAGAAUAUUACACCAAACUCAAGGCCCUAUGGGAUGAAUUAGAUUCCUAUCAUGAACCCAUCAUCUGCAAUUGCGAGGGUUCCAAAACACGUGCCUUAAGAGAAGAGAAGGAGAAAGUUAUGCAAUUUUUAAUGGGUCUUAACGAACCUUAUUCAACUGUGCGUGGGUCGAUUCUGAUGAUGUCACCGAUCCCCGACACACGUCGCGUUCAUGGCUUGAUCCUCCAACACGAGCGGCAGAUGGACGUGGCAAACCGUCAAAUCGGAUCCCAUGCUAUGCAAACCGGUCGCUAUACAACCACCAAGGGCCGCACAAGCUCCGGCAACUCAGCAGCGGUGAAACCCCCUAGUGCUGGGGAUGGCAAGCACGGCUCCUACUCAAAGAGGUCCCUGACGUGUUCUUAUUGUGAUGGAGACACUCACACAGUUGACAAUUGUUAUUAUCUCAAUGGUUUUCCUGUGGGUCACAAAUUGCAUGGCAAGAAUGUCAAGCCCAAAAACAAAAGGCCUGCUGCCUACACUGCCGAAAAGGAUCCAAUUCCAGAGCAUGACAGCAAAUCCAACGGAAGCCCAACUUUCACCAUCGAAGAAUACAAUCAAUUGAUCGCUCUUUUGCAUAACCGACCGGGUAAUUUUCCACUUGCAAAUGCAACAGGUAUUGUUACAUCCACCUGCAAUCUUUCACAGCAUGACCCACAUUCAAAUAUAUAUUGGAUAAUGGACAGUGGAGCCUCAGAUCAUAUUUCAUGUUUUGCACCUACACACAACACAAUCAAUACUCAACAUGAUUUUGUUGGUUUACCCAAUGGAGGAAAAGCAGAAAUCAAAAGUAUUGGGUCCAUUAAAUUGUCUGAAGCCUUAACACUUGAUGGUGUUCUUCACGUACCACAAUUCAAUGUGAACUUAUUAUCUGUGAGCAAAUUGACACGAGGGUUGAAAUGUAUUGUGAUUUUCUUUGCUAAGUUUUGUGCUGUGCAGGACGUGAACACGGGGAGGACGAUUGGCCUGGGCAAGCAUUUUAAUGGGCUCUACUACCUCAAAGCUACCCAAAAUCCACAUUUAGCUCAUCAUGUUCACCACACCUCCCACCUUUGGCACCAACGUCUGGGGCACCCAUCCAAUGCACCUACUCAAUUCCUUUCCAAUAAAAUUCCAGAAAUUGUCUGUGAUCCACAUCAUGUUUGUGAUAUUUGUCCUUUAGCAAAGCAAACUCGCUUAUUUUUUUCUCCAUCUACUUCAAUGUCAUCCAAUGCACCUUUUGAUUUAAUUCAUUGUGACAUUUGGGGGCCACACAAAAUUCCCACUCACACUGGCGCACGAUAUUUUCUAACUCUUGUGGAUGAUUUUACUCGAUUUACAUGGAUCCAUCUCUUACAUUUUAAAUCGGAAACACAAGGGGUGAUAAAAUCAUUUUUCUCUUGGGUUCAAACCCAAUUCAAUCUCCCUGUCAAAACCUUGCGUUCCGAUAAUGGGAGUGAAUUUCUGUCUCUCCAAACCUUUUUUAGAGACAAAGGUACCAUUUUCCAACACUCAUGUCCAUAUACACCCCAACAAAAUGGCCUAGUUGAGCGAAAACAUCGACAUCUUUUAAAUGUGGGCAGGGCACUCCGUUUCCAGGCCAACAUUCCUUUACGUUUUUGGGGGGAAAGUUUACAAACUGCAUGCUAUCUCAUAAAUCGCCUCCCCACACCCUUACUCAAACACAAAUCCCCAUAUGAAAUCUUGCACCAAAAAUCUCCCGA